GAUUAUAGAUGAGGGGAUACAGAUAAACUGGUCAGUGUAGUGGGAUUAUACAUCAGGGGACACAGGUUAACUGGUCAGUCUGUGGGUUUAUAAAUGAGGGGACACAGGUUAACUGGUCAGUCUGUGGGUUUAUAAAUGAGGGGACACAGGUUAACUGGUCAGUGUAGUGGGAUUAUACGUCAGGGGACACAGGUUAACUGGUCAGUGUAGUGGGAUUAUACGUCAGGGGACACAGGUUAACUGAUCAGUGUAGUGGGAUUAUAGAUGAGGGGAUACAGAUAAACUGGUCAAUGUAGUGGGUUUAUAGAUGAGGGGACACAGGUUGACUGGUCAGUCUGUGGGUAUACAGAUGAGGGGAUACAGGUUAACUGGUCAGUGUAGUGGGAUUAUACAUCAGGGGACACAGGUUAAAUGGUCAGUGUAGUGAGAUUAUACGUCAGGGGACACAGGUUAACUGUUCAGUGUAGUCGGAUUAUAGAUGAGGGGAUACAGAUAAACUGGUCAAUGUAGUGGGAUUAUAGAUGAGGGGACAAAGGUUGACUGGUCAGUCUGUGGGUAUAUAGAUGAGGGGAUACAGGUUAACUGGUCAGUGUAGUGGGAUUAUACAUCAGGGGACACAGGUUAAAUGGUCAGUGUAGUGAGAUUAUACGUCAGGGGACACAGGUUAACUGGUCAGUGUAGUGGGAUUAUAGAUGAGGGGAUACAGAUAAACUGGUCAGUGUAGUGGGAUUAUACAUCAGGGGACACAGGUUAACUGGACAGUCUGUGGGCUUAUAGAUGAGCGGACACAGGUUAACUGGUCAGUGUAGUGGGAUUAUACGUCAGGGGACACAGGUUAACUGGUCAGUGUAGUGGGAUUAUACGUCAGGGGACACAGGUUGACUGGUCAGUGUAGUGGGAUUAUAGAUGAGGGGAUACAGAUAAACUGGUCAGUGUAGUGGGAUUAUACAUCAGGGGACACAGG
ensembl:lncRNA